UUACGACCAUAUCACGUUGAAACACUGGUUCUCGUACGAUCACCGAAGUUAAGCAACGUCGAGCCUGGUCAGUACCUAGAUGGGUGACCGCUUGGGAAUACCAGGUGCUGUAA